UUCGACCGUACACGCAUUUUUAGGAAUCGCCUCUUCAAUAGCCAAGGAGGAAUAGCUUUGAACCGUUGUGAUGUUUGUUGCCUUGAUCUUUUUCAAUCGAUGGAUGGAUACAACACAUUUAACGUUGUGAAGCUUCAUCUUUUUCUCUAACGUUCGUGCAAUUCCUCUUUUAGCAUCAAAUUGAAACCUCCUCAGAUUGCAGGGAAUAAACGACCUGAAAUGUGGACCUCAUGACUCGGAAGGAGACGGUGCAAACAUAGUCCAAGCAUCUGAUGGCCUAUCGUAUGGUUAUGUUGGAUGCCCAGUCUUUUUUUUUUGUCAUAGGAACAGGAUUAUACGAAGAAUAAUUUUGUUUUUCAAAUGUAUUUGACAUUAUUUCUCUUCAAUAAAACAUCUGUGGAGGUAACUUGUAAUAUAAAAUUGUGUGAUAUAAUCUCUGAUGUCGGCAACCAGCUCGCCUUUCUUUGCUGAUGUUCAACCGGAGAAACUAAUAGAAAACCUAUUUCCUACACCGCAAUUGUUUAACGACGUUCCUCGCUAGAUCCUCCGCCACCACCGCUGGAUCCUGUGACAUUACAAACGAUGGACGUAAAUAGACAAUUCAAAAGAACAAAAACAAAAUAGCAAUUACCUCUGUACUUCUUCUUUUUGUGCUCAGCCACCUCCAAGUCGGGAUGGAUGGUCUCCAAGACGGUACUCUGAGCCAUGCCUAUAUCCUGGUUGUCGAUGAUAGCAGGACUGGCAGCGUCCAUCGUCCAAGCCACAGCCAUCAACAUGGCAAGGACCACCAAGAUCUGAUGAUGGGAAAAGACGUUCAAGAUUAACGUCAAGACCAUAAGGAUCGAAUUGGAAACUGAUCUUACUUUGGUUGAAGCCAUUCUGUUUAGUUGGAUGUGCAAACGUGAUGAGAACGAGAAAGGCUAGCGGAGCAAAGUUGUUGUUUCGUCUGGAACAGACAGUCGGAGUAGUGUGAUGAUCUUUGUUGGACAACUGUCCUUUUUAUACAAGACUCAGUUACACGCCAAAUUGCGACAGAACUAGAUUUUUAAUUCGACACUCAAGAGCGUUGCAGCAAUAGUUACUUCGCGCGGACAACAAGGGAAAGUCAUUUCAUUUGUGUUCUCCAUCAGGGAGUUUUGAUGUCGUAAGAAGGCAAACGAGAUUUGUCUCUCAUUUAGCAUCGGGGCUCUGGCAGUCUCAGCGUCGAUUUCUAAACCGACGACACAGUCACAUUUGUCAUUGACGAAUAGUUGGAGAGAAAUCCGCAAAGUGAAACGGUGCCUCGUGUUUCUUGUCCUCGUGAGCAGAGUUUGAAUGGACCGUAGAGUUCAACAGCUGCCGUCCCCGGCAUUUCAUUACCAACAACACACAGCCCCUCUGCCUGACCUCAUGGUUUUUUAUUUCCUAUCUCGAACGCGACGGACACAGGUUUCAAAUCAAUGAUGUAAUACGUCAAAGAGAUGUGUGCAUAUUUCAAUAAAUAAUGUACAGGAUAGAUAUUUGGGUAAGGUAUCAAGUAGGGUAGAAACAAAGAGAGGAGCUUGCAAUAAAUAAUUUGUGUCUUUUUAGAUUUUUAAAACGAGACCUAAGGGAUGUAGAGAUAUACAUAGGUUUUAACUAGGUUUUCCUCUCUUCUUGGUGACAACUUGGAUCAAAACCGAUGGACUGGUUGUUUGAUUCAUUGUCCCAGCAUUCUAAUUUCAUACGCAGGAUUUGGAGUGGAUGUCUACCGUCUUUCUUCGCUCGAUCCGCCACCACCUCCACCACCUCCAUAUGGACGGCUAUAGCCUGAUGGUCGAAUAACUAAACAACUAAGUAUAUACUUCUGUCAUGAACUAAAAGACUGUACCUCUGUAUUUCUUCUUUUUGUGCUCGGCUACAUGCAGAUCAUGGUUGUACGCACUACGUAAGGGACUUCCUUGCGAUUCCAUCAUCAUUCCAUCGUUAAGCUGUGCGGCGCCAUUCAAGACGCAGCCAACGGUCAUCAACACCACCAACAUCAAUGCAACCUGUUGAAGAUCCAUCACAGAUGAUGAAUGCGACAACGAAAGAGCUAAAGCACGAGUGAAUCAAGUUGUACCUUGGCCGAAUCCAUUGUUGCUGAAGAACUCAAAUGAUAGUUGAGUACGGCAGGAUCGAAUGGGACUGAAUCAGUUAAAAACUUGAAACAAACUGCUGCGAUGUAACGACCGAAUCUGAGAGUUACCCCUAUUUAUAUGCGGCCAGCAUGUUGAUCUAGAUAGACGACGCGUGUGCGUCGUGUUUAACACCAAUAAUCUGCACAAGGAUGCUAGCCUUCUUGUUUAGGAUUUGAAUACAAGGACGAGUGAAAGGAA